UACGAAGGGGGCUAGCGUUGCUCGGAAUUACUGGGCGUAAAGCGCACGUAGGCGGCUUUCUAAGUCGGGGGUGAAAUCCUGGAGCUCAACUCCAGAACUGCCUUCGAUACUGGAAAGCUCGAGUCCGGGAGAGGUGAGUGGAACUGCGAGUGUAGAGGUGAAAUUCGUAGAUAUUCGCAAGAACACCAGUGGCGAAGGCGGCUCACUGGCCCGGUACUGACGCUGAGGUGCGAAAGUGUGGGGAGCGAACAGG
rnacentral:rRNA from 1 species